UACAGAGGGGGCAAGCGUUGUUCGGAAUUACUGGGCGUAAAGGGCGCGUAGGCGGCCUUCUACGUCGAACGUGAAAUCCCCGGGCUCAACCCGGGAACUGCGUCCGAUACUGGAAGGCUUGAAUCCGGGAGAGGGAUGCGGAAUUCCAGGUGUAGCGGUGAAAUGCGUAGAUAUCUGGAGGAACACCGGUGGCGAAGGCGGCAGCCUGGACCGGCAUUGACGCUGAGGCGCGAAAGCCAGGGGAGCAAACGGG
rnacentral:rRNA from 1 species